rnacentral:rRNA from 1 species
GAUGAACGCUGGCGGCGUGCCUAAUACAUGCAAGUCGAGCGAAUGGAUUAAGAGCUUGCUCUUAUGAAGUUAGCGGCGGACGGGUGAGUAACACGUGGGUAAGCUGCCCAUAAGACUGGGAUAACUCCGGGAAACGGGCGCUAAUAGCGGAUAACAUUUUGAACCGCAUGGUUCGAAAUUGAAAGGCGGCUUCGCCUGCCACGUAUGGAUGGACCCGCGUCGCAUUUGCUAGUUGGUGAGGUAACGGCUCACCAAGGCAACGAUGCGUAGCCGACCUGAGAGGGUGAUCGGCCACACUGGGACUGAGACACGGCCCAGACUCCUACGGGAGGCAGCAGUAGGGAAUCUUCCGCAAUGGACGAAAGUCUGACGGAGCAACGCCGCGUGAGUGAUGAAGGCUUUCGGGUCGUAAAACUCUGUUGUUAGGGAAGAACAAGUGCUAGUUGAAUAAGCUGGCACCUUGACGGUACCUAACCAGAAAGCCACGGCUAACUACGUGCCAGCCGCCGCAGUAA